UGAAUUAAUUAAGGCUUCAGCGCCUCGAGACCCAGAAAAACAGCAAUUACAUGCUCUGACACAACAGAGCUGUGUUUUCCUUUCCUGUCUACAGAGCGACAGAGAGAGAGAGAGAGAGAAUCGAUUAUGGAACAAGAAAGUACACAGCUUUGAAUCCUCAAGAAGAGACCGAGAGAGAGAGAGAGAGAGAGAGAGAGAGAGCGAGAGGUGAAGAACGAUGCGUCGGGAGAUCUCAGCUCUUGCUCAACCGCGAUGCCUCCUUCUCUUCCUCGUCGCCUCAAUUCUCAUCAUUCUCGCAUUCUGGAUCUCCAAUCGCGAGGUAGAUGAGGUGGAGGAGGCCUAUGUAAUUACCCACAGGGUGUAUUUAGAUGUCGAUAUUGAUAAACAACGUGUAGGGAGAAUCGUAAUUGGAUUAUAUGGUGAAGCCGUACCGAAAACUGUUGAAAAUUUCAGGGCUUUGUGUACAGGGGAGCUGGGCAAGAGUACCAGCGGAAAACCUCUGCAUUACAAGGGAACACCAUUUCAUCGCAUAAUUCCUGGGUUCAUGAUUCAAGGUGGAGAUAUUAUUUAUGGUGAUGGGAAGGGAAGCGAAUCUGUAUAUGGUGGCACCUUUCCUGAUGAGAGUUUUAAGAUAAAACACUCGCAUCCAGGUGUUGUUUCAAUGGUGAAUUCAGGUCCUGAUUCCAAUGGCUCACAAUUUUUUAUCACCACAGUCAAAGCCAGCUGGUUAGAUGGGGAGCACGUUGUGUUUGGCAAGGUUAUUGAAGGCAUGGACGCUGUCUAUGCAAUAGAGGGGGGAGCUGGGACCUACAGCGGGAAACCCAGGAAAAAGGUAAUUAUUGCUGAUUCUGGCGAGAUAUCUAAGAGCGAGUGGGAAGAGGGAAGUAGAAGCUCAACAAGUGCCUCGUGACAAUGACAACAAAAGCAAGUUUUGCAGGGCCCAUCUGCCAAUCUAGUCGUAGCUGGAAGGAUAAGUAUGCUCAGUUCUCACUAUUCCGAGGAGAAACAACCUUCAAAUUGCAGCUCUAAAUAUGAAGCAUGAAAGCAUCACCAACCCCUUCAAAAGCAUCAUUAAAGAUUGCAGGUUUUUGUUCUUAAUCACAUCAAAUGCAGAGACUGACUCAGUGUUGAAAGAAGGCAAUUUCUUAGCUAACUAGUAUUUGCUGAUCGUGUUGGGUCGUGUACAGCAGACCCUUUUAUCUCUGCUUAUUUGUUAUUUGUUUGUGUGUACAGAUAUACAUAUUAAAAACAAAGAAAGUGGUCAGCCAAGAAAGAGAUUAAGUAAUCAUAUUUAUGUUAAAAAAGUGUGCCUAGAAAAAUGCUACUAGAGUACUGAUAUUUAAAUAUCAUUUACAUUUUGGAGUGAUUUGGAAA